rnacentral:lncRNA from 1 species
GAAACAGGCCGGCGUCCUGCUAUGACUUGAGAGCAGGGAGGUUUAAACAGGCAAAAUUGACCAGAAAAGUACACGAAAUAAAAGCGAGAGGCUGCCCCAACAGAGAGAUUUUGUGGCCCAACCCCGUGUGGCACCCCCAGCGGAGUCAGGUGGCCCUCACACUGGCUUGAGGAGCAGAUAUGUAAGGCGGAAAUGAUGGCGUCCGUCAGGAACCAACGGAGGAAGAGAUUAGAGGUGGGAGACGGAGACAGGACUAUUGAUUCUGCCGCUUCCUGGCUCCGUGACGUCAGGAGAAGGAGAUGACUUCAUUCUGUUACACACCAGACUUAGAGCGCCCUGCUUUAUGAAAGAGGUAAGUGUGUUUCUCCAAACAGUGGUAUAUAGAUAGAAUCUGAAUGAGCUGGCCAUCUGCGGGUGGGCAUUUGCACGACUACAAUAUCUAAAUGGGGAAGAUCUGAGUGUGUGUGAGACACCCGUGGGAAUAUUGUCACAUCUGUGUAAGCUAAGAGUGUGAUGUAUGAUUGCGUGUGUCUUGCAUGAAUGUGUGUGCCGUCUACUUGGGGGACAUGUGAGUUUGUGUGAUGUUGCAUGUACGUGU